AUCACGGAAUUCCUUGUGUACAGUAGGAAUACGCAGAUAUCAGUAGGAACACCUGCAUAGAAGGCAGUGAUCUGAGCCAAUUCUGACAUGAGGAGCGAAAGCGUGGGAGAGCGAAGCAGGAUAAGAUGACUUGGAUGUCCAGCAGUAAACGGUGGGCACAAGGUGAGGAGACUUUUCGACGGUUUCCGCGCGACAGCUAAGGCAUUAAGUGCACCGCCUGGGGAGUGCAGUAGCAAGACUAAAUCUCAAAGAAAUUGACNNNNNNNCGCACAAGCAGCGGAGCAUGUGGGUUAAUUCGAUGCAACGAGAAAAACCUUACCUAGGUAUGACAUGUAGAGAAAUCCCAUAGAGAUAUGGAGUGCUUCGGCGUUGUACACAGGUGGUGCAUGACUGUCGUCAGCUCGUGUCGUAAGAUGUUGGGUUAAGUCCCGCAACGAGCGCAAACCUUGUCCUGUGUUGCCAGCAAGUAAAGUUGGGGACUCACAGGAGACUGCCGGGGUCAACUAGGAGGAAGGUNNNNNNNACGUCAAGUCAUCAUAAACCUUACGCCUAGGGCUGCACACAUGCUACAAUGGUCGGUACAGAGGGCUAUAAGCCAUGAGGUAGAGCCAAUCCCUAAAACCGAUUUAAAUUCUGAUUCCAGGCUGCAACUCGCCUGCAAGAAGUUGGAAUUAAUAGUAAUCCCGGAUCAGCAUUGCCGGGGUGAAUACGUUCCCGGGCAUAGACACACCGCCAGACAAACCACGAA
rnacentral:rRNA from 1 species